UAGACAAAGCAUCAACAAUCUCUAACCAAAGCGUAAUUACAACAACGUUAAUGGAGAAAGAUUCUAGCGCCAGUUUUGAUAUAGGUCCAGUUAUUGGUGGCAUUGCAGGUGCUAUCACACUAUUGGCUGUUUUGUUUGUGAUGAUUUUUUGUAAAAUAAGGUCAUGUGGAUUUUUCAAAACGUCUAAUACGGAUAGGCAAGAAGUCCUCAAUAUAGUUCUAUGAGCAUUUACAAAAUCCAGAAGUUAGAACAAGUGUGACGCCGACAUCUAAAGAAUCAUAUGGCUUAGCUUCAAUCAAUUCAAGCAAUACGUAUGCACGCAUCAACAAAAUCAGAAAAACGGAUUCAAAAUUACAAAAUUCGGAUCAAAAACGUAUAUUGAAACAUCAUACGGAGACUAUGAUUGAUUAAAUGGUGUAUCGAAACGGCGAACAGAUUCAAAAGAAAAUUUAUAUGACGACAAUGGCAGGGAAUCGUAACGAAAAUGACCCAAAUUACGACAGUUCUAAUUUUGGAGAAAGAAAACUUCAAUUUGAAAACGAUGCGUAUGAUCAUACAGACACAGUAUCGCAAGACGGAACUACGAUUAUUCAUCAACUCUCAGAUCAGAAAAUAGAAAUGAAAAUGAUAAAGUAGUCUAACAGCAACAUUUAAUUUCCAGAAAAGAAUAUUAGUAAUGCAGUUCUAGGGAAUACGAAAAUAAUCAUAUGUUACGUCUGUUAUUCAUAUAGUCUUGUGUGUUACUCUGAUUUCAGUUGAUGACUUACUUUGUGUGUUUAUCUCUGAUCCAUGCUUAAAUGAUCGCUUCCCCUAUCAAUCAGACAUCCACAUCACGGUCAUCUUAGA